AUGGCAGGGUCCCUGCUGUGCUGUAAGAGAGACCAGAGACUAUUUACCAUGACGUCUCUUUUCUCUAUUCCCAAUCAUAAAUUGGAGCCCGUGUCAGAAACUCAGAGCCUCUCACAUCUUAUGUUUGUGUGGGAGUGGAGUCUGCUUGCCAGGAAUGGAGAAAGCUCUGCCUGUCAGGCAAUGAUAUUAGGCACCAGAAGCAACCAUGGAAUGUAUGAAGUGCAGGAUUCUGUGAGAUUUGACUACAAAACAGUGAAACUGGUUUUGCAAAGCAUGGCAUGAAAACCAAUCUUGUUAAUUUAAUCUAUCCAUUUAUUCAUUCAUGUAUUGAUCCUUCAAUGUACAUGUACUGAGAGGCCAUUUCUCUUGAUUCAAACUUACUACAAUCUCUGUCUUUACCUUCCCCACCCCACCCUAUUUACUCCCUUCAGUAAGUUUAUGCACCAGAGUUUGAGUCUCAGUUUUUAAUCAGUUUUUUUCAAAUUGAAGUAUAAUUUACAUACAGUGUAUAGAUUUUAAAUAUAGGUUUGAACUGUUUUGACAAAUUGAUAUCAAAGAAGCAGAACAUUUCUAUAAUUUAAAUUUUUAAUUACAGUUAUUAUAGUAUUAGUAUGAAGAAGCACUUUUGAAUUAACAUCUACCAGGAUGCCUGGGUGGCUCAGCAGUUGAGUGCACCUGCCUUCAGCUCAGGGCGUGAUCCUGGAGUCCCAGGAUCGAGUCCCACAUCAGGCUCCCUGCAUGGAGCCUGCUUCUCCCUCUGCCUGUGUCUCUGCCUCUCUCUCUGUGUCUCUCAUGAAUAAAUAAAUAAAAUCUUUAAAAAAAUGAAUUAACAUCUACCUGGUCAUAUUUAUAGGCCUCUUAAAUAGUGUAUGAGGUAUGGCUGAAGAGAGAAUUACUGAACUAGAAGACAGAUUUGAAAAAUUACCUAGAGGGCACCUGGGUGGCUCAGUUGAUUAAGCGUCUGCCUUUUGCUCAGGUCAUGAUCACGGAGUUCUAGAAUCAAGUCCCACAUCGGGUUCCCUGCUCAGUGGGAGUCUGCUUCUCCCUCUGCCUCUCACCCCACUCAUGCUCUCUCUCUCCCUUUCUCUCUCAUUCACUCUCUCUGUGUCUCUCUAAUAAACAAAUAAAAUCUUUAAAAAAGAAAAAUUACCUAGAGUGUAGCAUAUAUACACAAAGGAAUGGACAAUAGGGAAGAGAGAUUAUGAAAUGCUGAGGCUGUGUAUCCAGAAUAUACAAAAAACACUUAAAAGUCAAUAAUGAGAAGACAGAUAACUCAAUAUAAAAAUGGGCAAAGGAUUUCAAAAGAUAUUUCCCUAAAGAAAAUAUAUAAAUGGCCCAUAAGGCACAUAAAAAAUGCCCAGCCUCAACUAGCAUUAGGGAAAUGCAAAUUAAAAUCAAACUAAGAUAUAAUUUCCCACAUAUUAGGACAGCUAUAAGAAGAUGGAAAGAGGGAUCCCUGGGUGGCGCAGCGGUUUGGCGCCUGCCUUUGGCCCAGGGCGCGAUCCUGGAGACCCGGGAUCGAAUCCCACGUCGGGCUCCUGGUGCAUGGAGCCUGCUUCUCCCUCUGCCUGUGUCUCUGCCUCUCUCUCUCUAUCUCUCUCUCUCUCUGUGACUAUCAUAAAUAAAUAAAAAUUAAAAAAAAAAAAAAGAAGAAGAUGGAAAGAGUAAGUAUUGGGAAGAAUGUUGAGACACUGGAAUACUCAUGCCAAAAUGGUAUAGCCACUGUGAAGAAAAAGUUGGGCAGUUUUUCAAAAAGUUAAACAUAGAGUUACCAUAUGACCUUCCAUAUAUACUCCUAGAUAAACACCCAAAAUAAUGAAAAUAUAUGGAUAAGUCCUCACAAAAACUUGUAUACGAAUGUUUAUAGCAGCAUUAUUCAUAAAAUCCCCUAAAUGGAAACAACACCAAUGCCCAUCCCUGAUGAAUGGAUAAAUAAAAUAUAGUAUAUCCAUACAAUAGAAUAUUAUUCAGUCAUAAAAAGGCCGGAAGUACUUAUCCAUGCUACAACAUGGAUAAACCUAAAGAACAGUAUGCUAAGUGAAAGAAGCCAGUCACAAAAGACUACAUAUUGUAUAAUUUUAUUUAUAUUAAAACCCAGAAAGGCAAAGCUAUUAAACAAGUAGAUUAAUGGUUGCUUAUGGCUCUGCUGGAAGAGGAGAAUAAGGAGAAAUGGGCAGUGACUGUGAAUGAGUACAAGAGUACUUUUUGGGAUGAGGCAUAGGGUCUAAAACUGGAUUGUGGUACCAGUUGUACAACUCUGGGAAUAUACUAAAACUUACUGAAUUAUAAAUUUUAAAUGGGUGAAUCUUACAUAUCUCAAUAAAGGUGUUAAAAUAUGAUAGGCAAAACAUUAGAAGGAAUCUAGGAAAGAGUUUGGGGCUUUUUUUGCCUCAAAGUAAGAAAGGAUAUCUUAAGAUUCCCAGAGUGUAAAGCAUAGAGGAAAUGAUUGAGAAAAUUAACUACCGUGAUGAAUCUAGCUGCCUUUAAUUAAGAACUAUGUGUCAAAAGAUACCAUAAAGGAAGAAAGAGACAAGCUGUGGUCUCAGGGAAUGUAUUUGCAAUAUAUGUUCUGUAUACUAAGUCUAUGGCAGGUUAAAAUGUGUAACCACUUUUGAAAAGAAUUUGGUAUUUACAGAAAUUCUGACACCAUCCUUCCUAGGGCUGGAAUUGAUUUUGUAUAUCCAAAUUGUGUCCCUGCCACUGAGUCACACCUGCGGUAUGUGGCAGGAUGGUGCUGGGGGUGUAGUAACCUAGGUGUUCCAUCUAGGUGACUAAGCUUGUGAAAGAAGCUUUUCUCAACCAUGAGGUUCUCCUGACAAGCUGAAGGCCAUUGCCACCAGCCUGAGCAUGCCUCUUGGAAGGGAGUAGGAGGACUCUAACAGGAUGCUCACUGACAGCCCCAGCGUAAUAUGCUCCAGAAUGUAUUAACAGUGUACCUUUAAGGGUGCCUGGGUGGCUCAGUUGGUUAAGCUUCUGACUCUUGAUUUUAGCUCAGGUCUUGAUCUCAGGGUUGAACUCACAACCCUGAGAUCAAGCCCCAUGUUGGACUCCAUGCUAGGCAUGGUGCCUAUUGAAAAAAAAAAAAAAAAAAAACCUAAAAAACAAUAUAUUCUUUCAGCUUAUAGAAGCAAAAUGACAUUUGCAUAAGAUUUAUGUAUUGGAGUGCUUAUUUUCACUGAGCCUCUGCCAUUUUUGAUAGCUAUACCAUCUCAUAUUCCCACUAGUACUAUAAAACUGUCCUGGUUGCUUCACAUCCUUGCCAAGACUUGGCAUUGUCCACGCUUGACAUUUGUGCCAAUCUGUGCAAGUACUUAAACAUAUAAUAUGCUGACUCCAUGGAGAUGUGUCCUGGUAGACCAGAAUAUUCACAGCAGCACUGCUUGAGAGCA
rnacentral:lncRNA from 1 species